CUACGGGUUGCUGCAGUGGGGAAUAUUGCACAAUGGGCGCAAGCCUGAUGCAGCGACGCCGCGUGGAGGAUGACGGUUUUCGGAUUGUAAACUCCUGUUAAGUGGGAAAAAAUCUCAGCGGUUAAUAAUCGUCUGAGGAUGAUGGUAUCACUAGAGAAAGUACCGGCAAACUUCGUGCCAGCAGCCGCGGUAAUACGAAGGGUACAAGCGUUAUUCGGAGUUACUGGGCGUAAAGAGCGUGUAGGCGGUAUGUUAAGUUAGUUGUUAAAGGUCUUGGCUUAACUAAGAAAAAGCAGCUAAAACUGGCAAACUAGAGUACAAGAGAGAAAAGUAGAAUUCUCGGAGUAGCGGUAAAAUGCGUAGAUCUCGAGAGGAAUACCGAUGGCGAAGGCAACUUUUUGGCUUGUAACUGACGCUAAAGCGCGAAAGCGUGGGGAGCAAACAGGAUUAGAUACCCCCGUAGUC
rnacentral:rRNA from 1 species